rnacentral:tRNA from 1 species
GCAGUCGUGGCCGAGUGGUUAAGGCGUCUGACAAGAAAUCAGAUUCCCUCUGGGAGCGUAGGUUCGAGUCCUACCGACUGCG